rnacentral:rRNA from 1 species
AUGGAUUUAAACCCCUCCAUCAUGUGUUGGAAUGUACGUGGUAUGAACAACCCGGCAAAGAGGAAAGUGGCGAAGGAGUUCUUGGGCACGAUGAAGAUUAGCCUAGUUUGCCUCCAGGAAACUAAAAUUGAUGUAAUUGAUCAAUACGUUGGCAUGCAAUGCUUAGGGCCAUCUUUCGACGGUUUUGCGUACUUGUCGGUGUUGGAGACUCGUGGUGGCAUUCUCUUGGCUUGGGACUCCACUAUCCUAGACAUGCAUAAUCCGCAAAUGGACACUAAUUUUCUUACAGUCAUGGUUUGCCCUAAGAAAGGGAGUGUAUGGUGGAUAUCCAAGAAUUGGGUGAAAGGAGGAUGUGCUGCCCCAGACCAUGGAUGGUUCUCGGGGACUUUAAUAUGA